rnacentral:sRNA from 1 species
CUUGACAGUGGAUCCCUGGGGAUCUACGCUGAGUUCGGAGAUGCUCCAGCUCGGGCCGCCCCUGUCUGAGCGGAGCUUUGCGGCGCUGAAGCUUACAGGGGAAGGAGAAGCCUCGCCCGGCGUCUGAUUGGUGGAACCGCGCUGCCGCAGCCUGGGAUUCCCCAGGGACCCCCCGGAGCCGCUGCGUCUCCCAUGGACUUGCCCGGGGACUCCAGCCCGCCUGGCCAGCCGCGUCUGUGCCGCCAGCCUCUGACUCGAGCAUUAUGGGGAGCCAGGAGCCCGAAACGGCCGAGGCUGCAGCUCCCGGGGGCCCCUUCUCCCCUGGAAAAGGCCUCUCGGCGGGUCCUGGCCGUGGUGCUAGAAGAUGUCAUGGCUGUUCACAUGGUCCCCGUGGUGCCCUCAAAGGAGACCUCCAUCCCACGGCACCACAGCUACCGUCAGGAUCCUGUCCACAGGCAGCCGCCUGCCUCGCCACCCCUGCAGGCCGGGUGGUCCUUGCAGGCCAGGUGAGCAUGGCAGGAUGGGGGCAAGCCGAGGGCCCAGCUGAGCCAUUUUAAUCUUGCUGUUCCCUUGCUAGGCCUCCCGACCCUCUGUGUUUGUGUCGCGAGCCCUUGAGCCGCAUCCACCGGACCUCUUCCACCCUGAGGCGGCGAUCAAGGACAACCCCUGGCCCAGAGGAGGGCCCUUCACAAAAGGUGGACCGGGCCCCCCAGCCCACCCUGGUGGUGAUGCUAGAAGACAUCGCCAGUCCUAGACCCCCAGCUGAGGGCUUCAUUGAUGAGACCCCCAACUUCAUCAUCCCAGCACAAAGAGCUGAGCCCACGAGGAUAGUUCGCCAGCCAACGCCUCCACCCGGGGACCUAGAACCCCCAUUCCAGCCAUCUGCUCUGCCUGCAGAUCCUCUGGAGAGCCCACCACCAGCCCCAGAUCCUGCUCUGGAGCUCCCAUCCACCCCACCACCGUCCAGCCUUUUACGCCCCCGCCUCAGUCCCUGGGGCUUGGCCCCGCUCUUCCGUUCCGUCCGCUCCAAGCUGGAGAGCUUUGCUGACAUCUUCCUCACGCCCAACAAAACCCCACAGCCCCCACCCCCGUCCCCCCCAAUGAAGCUGGAGUUGAAGAUCGCCAUCUCAGAGGCCGAGCAGUCUGGGGCUGCUGAGGGCACUGCGUCUGUCAGCCCCCGGCCCCCAAUCCGCCAGUGGCGGACUCAGGACCACAAUACCCCAGCACCUCUCCCUAAGCCCUCUCUGGGCCGAAGCUACUCCUGCCCUGAUCUGAGGCCCCCUGGCCCAGGUACCUGCACCUGGCCACCUGCUCCACCCCAACCAAGCCGGCCACGGCCGCGGCGGCACACUGUGGGUGGUGGGGAAAUGGCCCGAGCCCCGCCACCCCCUCGGCCCUGUCUCCGGAAAGAGGUCUUCCCUCUCGGAGGAGUGGGAGCCUCCCCUUCUCUCGCCACAUCUUGCUCGUCCACGGCAUCCACUUCCUCCUUCUCCGAACCAGCAGAACCCAGGUUGGGUUCAACCAAAGGGAAGGAGCCAAGAGCCUCAAAGGACCAGGUGCUUUCAGACCCUGAGACCAAGACCAUGGGAAAGGUUUCUCGAUUUAGAAUACGCAGAACACCAGCCCGUCCUCAGCUAAACCUUACACCAAUGGGACUGCCUCGACCAAUCAGGUUGAACAAGAAGGAGUUCAGCUUGGAAGAAAUUUACACCAACAAGAAUUACCAAUCACCCACAACCAGGAGGACCUUUGAGACCAUCUUCGAGGAACCCCGGGAGCGCAAUGGGACUCUGAUUUUCACCAGCUCAAGGAAGCUCCGGCGGGCUGUGGAAUUUCGGGACAGCAGCCUUCCUCGAUCACGAAGGCCGUCCCGUGGGGUCCGGGCUGCAGGGGGCAGGACUGUUCCUCCCAAUGUGGCCCCCAGCCCUGAUGUGGGCCCUCUGCUCCAGCAGCGGCUGGAGGAGCUAGAUGCCUUGCUCCUGGAGGAAGAAACAGUAGAUCGGGAGCAGCCCCACUGGACCUAGGUGCCCCAUCUGCUGGUUAUCCAUCCUGAAGGGACGGGAAACCUCCCAGGCAGUUAUUUUUUUUUUUCUAUAUAUUUCUAGUAAAGUUUUCGAUAUGUUUCUGA